CCAUCAGCAACCAUCACCACCAUCACCAUCACAACCAACCACACCAUCACAACCAACAACACCAUCACCAUCACAACCAACAACACCAUCACCAUCACAACCAACAACACCAUCACCAUCACAACCAACAACACCAUCACCAUCACAACCAACAACACCAUCACCACCAACAACACCAUCACCAUCACAACCAACAACACCAUCACCAUCACAACCGACAACACCAUCACCAUCACAACCAACAACACCAUCACCAUCACAACCAACAACACCAUCACCAUCACAACCAACAACACCAUCACCAUCACAACCAACAACACCAUCACCAUCACAACCAACAACACCAUCACAACCAACAACACCAUCACCAACACCAACACCAUCACAACCAACAACACCAUCACCAUCACAACCAGAACCAAGAACAGCAUCAUCAACCAAAACCAACAACACCAUCACAACCAACAACACCAUCACCAUCACAACCAACAACACCAUCACAACCAACAACACCAUCACCAUCACAACCAACAACACCAUCACCAUCACAACCAACAACACCAUCGCAACAAACAAUCACAACCAACAACACCAUCACCAUCACAACCAACAACACCAUCACCAUCACAACCAACAACACCAUCACAACCAACAACACCAUCACCAUCACAACCACAACCAAGAACACCAUCACCAAAACCAACAACACCAUCACAACCAACAACACCAUCACCACCACAACCAACAACACCAUCACAACAAACAACACCAUCACAACCAACAACACCUACCCCAUCAAAACCAAAAACACUACCACCAACACAACCAGAACCAACAAAACCAUCACAACCAACAACACCAUCACUAUCACAACCAACAACACCAUCACUAUCACAACCAACAACACUACCACCAUCACAACCAACAGCAUCACCACCACCACCACAAUCAUCAUUACCACCACCAUCCUCACCACCACCACCACAACUAACAACCCUAUCACCAGCACCGACAACACCACCACCCCCACCAACAACGACACCAACGCAACCAACAACGCCAACACCCCCACCACCAUCAUCAUCCGCGUCCCCGUCCCCAUCUCCAUCAGUGCUCCACGUCGACCAAUGGGACGUGUGCUCCACCCACUUCUCCACAAAGCCCCGGGUGUCGGCCCGCUGGCUCAAGGCCCAGAGGGAGGAGCUGACCCACAUGAGGGCCGUCCAACACGGCAACCAGGCCGUGGUGGAGAACCUGGUGCAGUACUUGAGUGAGGAGGUGGGGGAGCAGAGGUACGAGGACAUCAUCCAGGAGAACAUCGCCGGGAUCAAAGAGGGGCACGCCAGCUGCCAAGAGGCCACUCAGAAGGCCCUCGAGGACCUGGAGAGGCAACUGGAGGGGGACGUCAUGGAAACGCUCUCGGGGAUGCAGAGGAUCCGAGAGGAGCUGGCGUCCUUUGAAGGUCUGCGCCGUGGCGUGGUCGACGCCGCCGGCCGCCUGGAGCUCGCCGUGCCCGCCCUGCAGGCGUCCUUCACCAGGAAGAUCGGGAACGCCGCGCUCAGGGACACCGCGCUCCGGCGCCACCGCGGCUAAGGGAGCAGGGAGAGAGGAGUGAGAGGAUGAGCGAGUGACUGAAGGAGUGAGAGGAUGAACGAGUGACUUAAGGAGUGAGAGGAUGAAGCGAGUGACAGAAUGAGGGAGUGAAUGAAUGAAUGUGUCAAUUGGUGAGGGAACUAAUGGGGAAAUUGAGUGAGUGAAUUUAUGAGGGAGUGAGUGAGUGAAUUAAUGAGUGAAUUGGUGAGUGAGUAAAUGAGUAAGGGAGUGAAUGAAUGAAUGUUGGAGAUGUUACACAAUGCUAGCAAGCUCUGCCGGGAGUGAGAUUGUGUUGCACCUGAUUCUGAUCCAUAUUUUGAAGAUGUCUGUAAAAAUGAACUGUUUAAUAAAUCAAAGAAACGGUUUUAACUGUUUUACCCAUUGUCCCAAUAGUG
ensembl:lncRNA